rnacentral:rRNA from 1 species
AAUUCGGGUUUGAUUCGAGCUCGGCUCGACUCUCCCACCCAAUGUGUACCUACCUCUGUUGCUUUGGCGGGCCGCGGUCCUCCGCACCGGCGCCCUUCGGGGGGCUGGCCAGCGCCCGCCAGAGGACCAUAAAACUCCAGUCAGUGAACUUCGCAGUCUGAAAAACAAGUUAAUAAACUAAAACUUUCAACAACGGAUCUCUUGGUUCUGGCAUCGAUGAAGAACGCAGCGAAAUGCGAUAAGUAAUGUGAAUUGCAGAAUUCAGUGAAUCAUCGAAUCUUUGAACGCACAUUGCGCCCCUUGGUAUUCCGAGGGGCAUGCCUGUUCGAGCGUCAUUUCAACCCUCAAGCUCUGCUUGGUAUUGGGCCCCGUCCUCCACGGACGCGCCUUAAAGACCUCGGCGGUGGCGUCUUGCCUCAAGCGUAGUAGAAAACACCUCGCUUUGGAGCGCACGGCGUCGCCCGCCGGACGAACCUUUGAAUUAUUUCUCAAGGUUGACCUCGGAUCAGGUAGGGAUACCCGCUGAACUUAAGCAUAUCAAAAGUCGGGAGGAAGA